rnacentral:rRNA from 1 species
AGUGAACGCUGGCGGUAGGCCUAACACAUGCAAGUCGAACGGCAGCACAGAGGAGCUUGCUCCUUGGGUGGCGAGUGGCGGACGGGUGAGGAAUACAUCGGAAUCUACUCUGUCGUGGGGGAUAACGUAGGGAAACUUACGCUAAUACCGCAUACGACCUACGGGUGAAAGCAGGGGAUCUUCGGACCUUGCGCGAUUGAAUGAGCCGAUGUCGGAUUAGCUAGUUGGCGGGGUAAAGGCCCACCAAGGCGACGAUCCGUAGCUGGUCUGAGACGAUGAUCAGCGACACUGGAACUGAGACACGGUCCAGAAUCCUACGGGAGGCAGCAGUGGGGAAUAUUGGACAAUGGGCGCAAGCCUGAUCCAGCCAUACCGCGUGGGUGAAGAAGGCCUUCGGGUUGUAAAGCCCUUUUGUUGGGAAAGAAAUCCAUCUGGUUAAUACCCGGGUGGGAUGACGGUACCCAAAGAAUAAGCACCGGCUAACUUCGUGCCAGCCGCCGCCGUAA